UCUGAUGAAAGCACACCUCAGUUUUCCCUCAGUGUGUGUAUGGGAACUGCUGAGUCACGGCCUGAACCACUGAUUGAGCACAUGGGGAAAGGACCUGGUCAGCCCUGGGAGCACAGGUGAAGGUAAUUCAGCUGCACGACUGGAAGGGCUGCAGCCUGGCUGCACCUCUCUUAGACCUCAUUUAAGGGCUGACUGCCCCUGGGGAAGGUUCUCUGGUUGGAGAUCCCCCCUCUUGUGGAGUUUUCCCUGUGAGCCUGGAUCUUCAGAGAUGGGAUUGUUCCUGGACAUCUGCUAGUGAGGAUGUUGUACAACUGUCACCUCCAAGCUCACAGCCCCUCUGAACUUCUGUGUGCAAGAAGGACCUAAGGGAAAGGUUUCAUCUGAGCAUCAUAGGGAGCAGAAAGGCAUAUUUGCUGGGGAUGUGCAAAAGGAAAAAUGCUAUGCUCAGUAUGAACAUUUGAAUGCACCUUAUUAAAGAGCACAUCUCCUGGUAUCCUCCAAGCAAGGAGGAAAGAACGUCACUGCAAACAAUUUCAGAUGUUUUGGAGAGGAUGGAGGAAAUCCAGGAAUCUGGGAAGUACACUCAGAGUUAGAGAAAUUUAUUUUCUGGUGGAUUUCAUAAGCAAAAGAACUCUGGGCAAUCCCUUUUGAAAUCCUUUUUUUUUUACACAGAUUCCUUAUGGAUUGGAAUAUAACAUUCAGAGCUGUAUUGAUCAAUAUAUUGAUCGUGGUCAUGGGGGAUGUAACCAGCACAAAGAACCUGGUGACCGGCUGGGGGAGAGACACACAGGAAUCACUGGGAAAGUCAUAAUCCUUCCCCUGCUGACAUGAAUGAGUUUGCAGCUUUAUUGCAGAAAUACAAGAAGGAGAAAUUAAUCUUCAGGUGAAACUAGUCAUUUAUUCUGUUUGACAUAAAGUGAAAUGCUGGCAAAAAAUAAUCCAGAAAUACAUUAUGAAUAUUGAGUCUUUGGACCGACAGCCAAGAGUCCCUCAGGAGCAUGUAGUUUGCUGGGUCUGUAGCACAUAACAUUUUCAUUGGCAUGACAUUCACUUGUUAUAUUUGCAAAUGACAGAACCACCACAACAGACUGUGGUACCUGAAUGUGAAUGCUGUCUGUCAAGACAGAUAAUAAAUAUAUUUGUUGGUUGUGUUGUGGCAAUAUUCAUUACAUGCUUUAAAUAUCAGACAGACUAGAAUAAACUGAUUCACUUCAGAUGGGACAGAGAAGUCUAAAGUCAAAGCCUUGUUACUUCUUAAUGCUGAUACAAGCAUUCUCUGUGGCAGAAGUAGUCUAGAAAAAAGCAUGUAAAAGCCCAAACACAGCUGCCAGGAAAGAACAGUGGGCAACCCACCAAGGUCAGGUGCAAAGCCUCCCCUCGAUCUACAAAUGGCCCUUCUAUCUACAUGAGAAUUGCUCGUAGUCUACUUAAGAGAUUUCUUCAGAGUUUCUCCAGCACAAGAAAUACCAGUUUCUUAUUUAAAUAAAGAACAUUUACAGUGUAAAGCCAAAGCCAGACAUUGUCAGCAAACCCCUUGUGUGCUUUUCCUCAGUUUGUGCAGUUUUAGGUCCUUCAGCACGAAGCAGAGAUCUUAUAUUGAGCAGGUCUGUGUUAGGGGUGGGUUCUGCCCAUGUUCUGGCCAUUCACUGAAGGUAAUGCUGAGCUGCCCGAGCUCUGCCCUCUGCAGCCUGUUGGUCUGCUGCUGCCCGAGAGAUUCACCAAGCCAUCACCUCCUGCCCAUCCAUUGCCUUGUAGAGCACCUUCCAAUUUACAGUGCAAAAGUAAACAAACAAAUUCCAACUUCUGAAUGCUGUGAUAUCCCCUCCCUUGGUUGCUUCUGGGCCUCUGUAUUUUCCGCUUCAGAGGAUGUGAUGUGUUCUAUAAAUCCCUGCCUUAGCCUUUGCCUCAGAAAAAUAAACGUUGCUCAGAUUUAUGCUUGUUCCCAUUCUUGAGGAAAAAUGAAGCAAUGAUAUAUGUAGCAAAUGGAAAAGAAAAUUGCAUUUUAGCCAGCAGGCUUCCAAUGUAACUGAUUUUGGUUCAACUGCAGCAAGUGCCUGUUCAUCCUCUUAAGAAAUGAGCCCAGUUUUGUACAUACAGUUCUCUGCAUUACCCUGAGGCUAAUCCAAGGUGUAAUUUGCCCAAUAAUCUAGCAAAAUAUCACACACCUGCAUUACAUACUGGUAUAAGACACAGGGUUUUCCCUUUUUAUGUAAACUCAUCUCAGUUCCUAUAAAAUUGUGAACGUGAUGUAGCCUGUAUAAUAGAAAUAAUGAGAUGUGCUAUACUUUGCAGACAUUUUUCUUUAUAAUUUUAUUAGCACUCACCCUAAAUCCUUAGCUUUCAUUUCUGCUGCUGCUUAGAAUGGUCUGACAGCACUAAUUGUUUUUAAAAGUGAAUUAUUUAUUCUAGCGCAAAGACUGAUUUCACUGAAGCUGGUUUUCACACACUAAGCCCUUUGCUUGUGCUUCUCAUCACACAUUGUUUGUAAGU